AUCUCAUUCCCAUAGAGGCCACCAAACAACUAUCAACUAUGCCGCCGGAUCCCUGCCGCCGGGGCUACCAUCAACCACCACGUCGUAGAAUCGUAGCCCGCCCCACCGCCAGAGACAAGGCGCCCCAAUCCACCUUGCAUCUGCUCCCCGUGCGCUCACAGCGCCGAGUCCUGCCCUCGGUGGCCCCGCAACGGUGAACGCAUCUGUGUGGUGCAGGGGUUCUUUAGCUUUGGACGCGGGCCUCUCCUUCCCGUCGCAGAUAAAGGACACGACGAGGAGUACAUCUCCUGUUUCUCCUCUCACGGGGCAGUGCAUAGCCGCGCAGCCAUCAGCCCGACCAUGGCACGACUGCUUGCCAACCACACCCACGGAACCUCCUUGCAUUCUCCCGAUGCGCCAGCCCUGUGUCCACGCCAUCCGUGAGUUUGUUUGGCGAGCACAACUCUCGAUGAGCAACGGCAAGGCAACUCAGCGGCCAGGUCUUGCUGCAGGGUAGUGAAGGAUUGACGAGCCAAAUAGAAGGGGCAAUGAGAAAUUGAAGGACCAUGGGCAAUGCUGAGACUUGUUGGUUUGCUAGGUUAUUUUGGAGUUGUAGAGAAAGAUCUGGUAACAAAUGAGAAUGAGAUCAAGCUGAGGUAUUGUACAUCCAAAGAUCAGACUUGUUUUGUAUUGCUUGAACUGACCGAUGAGGUCCUCUUUCAACUGCUCCAUUUUAUGUUUGAUCAUGCAAUGUUCACAAGCAAUGAGCUUGGUUCUGCAUAAAAGUAUCAAGGUGGCAUGCAAUCUUCAGUAUAAGUGGUCGAGGUUUCAUCUUUUUAAUUACAACGAUUACGCCUUGGUUUGGUUUGCAUAAUGGGGAGGGGUUGUAUACCGGUUGACCCUGAUGCCUGGAAGCAAAGAAAAGGCUAGAAGGUUGGUUCCCAAUCAUAAUUGCAUACCUUGGUUUCCAUGUGAACACUCGUACUUCAUGUCCAUGUACACUGUAAUAUGGCCCUGUUAGUCAGUGGAACAGAGAUCAACAUGAUGCAUCUGUUUUUGGUAAAUGAUGAUUGUUGAUGGUUUUUUAUAUUAAUAAAAAAAAUAUGUGUGUUUGUUGAUAUUGCUAUGUUGUGUCCAUUCUGCUUUUUGGGCAUAUGUUUAUUUGUAGGUAUGUUGCUCCCUCCCUCUUUUAAUAUAUUGGUAGUUGUUUUCUUAUUGUUUGUGAAAACAGAUUUAUACUGUACAUGCAUAUGAUGUUUUGCCUUCUAUUUCUAAAUUUACAAUUUAUGAUUCUAAAAGAUCGUAUGUGAUUUUUUUAUUCUUUUGUAUUGGCACACCAAGACUGGUCGUGUGGCCACCUCUGAAGUUGAGGUCGAGUUCGCAUGCACACUGCAUACUGUCAGGCCUGGAAAUCUACUCAAUAGUCUGGGGCCCAUUUUGUACCUGAACUGAUUGACUAGCCCUAUCUACAACCUUCAGACAUGCAAUUUCUCUAUGAAGCUCUAAGUUUUCGUCUCUCACCAAGAUCCUUGAGUACUGUGGAGCAGCUUCUUCAUCCAGCCUCAUGUUUUCGUCUUCAGCAGGACUACAAGGCGAAUUGCUACAUAAACAGUAGAGAGCGUGGGGACGGCCUGCCCCACAUCCCAUGAGGUACCCACCGGCCUGCCGCAGCUCCCCCAAGUGAGGAGUUCCACUGGUUGAUAUGCAUGUAUAAAUUUUAACAGGCUGGGGUCAACAGAAAUUCCAAACUUAAGCUGCGGUCGGAGAUCUAUGAUUCUUCUUCAUCGAAAGAAGAAACACCUUUUCUGUCAUCCAUGUCUACAUACAUGCAUGCCUGCAAAAGGAAACAUAAUCUCUGCAUUGUGUUACAUUCAGGAGCAUGCAUUCAUCCCAGUUUUGUACUUCUGAAAAUGUUUGAUUUUAAAUCAAGGGAUGUAAUUGCAAAUGUUGAACUCCCAAGUAGAAAAUAGACAUAUUGAACUUAAUUUUAACUGAUGCUUCUCUUCA